rnacentral:rRNA from 1 species
GACGAACGCUGGCGGCGUGCCUAAUACAUGCAAGUAGAACGCACAGUUUAUACCGUAGCUUGCUACACCAUAGACUGUGAGUUGCGAACGGGUGAGUAACGCGUAGGUAACCUGCCUGGUAGCGGGGGAUAACUAUUGGAAACGAUAGCUAAUACCGCAUAAUAUUGAUUAUUGCAUGAUAAUUGAUUGAAAGAUGCUAUUGCAUCACUACCAGAUGGACCUGCGUUGUAUUAGCUAGUAGGUGAGGUAACGGCUCACCUAGGCGACGAUACAUAGCCGACCUGAGAGGGUGAUCGGCCACACUGGGACUGAGACACGGCCCAGACUCCUACGGGAGGCAGCAGUAGGGAAUCUUCGGCAAUGGACGAAAGUCUGACCGAGCAACGCCGCGUGAGUGAAGAAGGUUUUCGGACCGUAAAGCUCUGUUGUAAGAGAAGAACGGGUGUGAGAGUGGAAAGUUCACACUGUGACGGUAUCUUACCAGAAAGGGACGGCUAACUACGUG